rnacentral:rRNA from 1 species
UACGAAGGGGGCAAGCGUUGUUCGGAUUUACUGGGCGUAAAGGGCGCGUAGGCGGAUCUUUAAGUCAGAGGUGAAAGCCCUGGGCUCAACCCGGGAAUUGCCUUUGAGACUGGGGAUCUUGAGUAUGGGAGAGGGUGGCGGAAUACCCAGUGUAGAGGUGAAAUUCGUAGAUAUUGGGUAGAACACCAGUGGCGAAGGCGGCCACCUGGCCCAUAACUGACGCUGAGGCGCGAAAGCGUGGGGAGCAAAC